rnacentral:rRNA from 1 species
CAGUAGCCGCGGUAAAACGGAGGAUCCAAGCGUUAUCCGGAAUCAUUGGGUUUAAAGGGUCCGUAGGCGGUCUUGUAAGUCAGUGGUGAAAGCCCAUCGCUCAACGGUGGAACGGCCAUUGAUACUGCAGGACUUGAAUUAUUGGGAAGUAACUAGAAUAUGUAGUGUAGCGGUGAAAUGCUUAGAGAUUACAUGGAAUACCAAUUGCGAAGGCAGGUUACUACCAAUUGAUUGACGCUGAUGGACGAAAGCGUGGGUAGCGAACAGGAUUAGAUACCCCAGUAGUCCCUGUCUCUUAUAU